GAUGAACGCUGGCGGCGUGCUUAACACAUGCAAGUCGAACGGGAAACCUUUUAUUGAGGCUUCGGCAGAUUUAGCUGGUUUCUAGUGGCGGACGGGUGAGUAACGCGUGGGUAACCUGCCUUAUACAGGGGGAUAACAACCAGAAAUGGUUGCUAAUACCGCAUAAGCGCACAGGACCGCAUGGUCCGGUGUGAAAAACUCCGGUGGUAUAAGAUGGACCCGCGUUGGAUUAGCUAGUUGGCAGGGUAACGGCCUACCAAGGCGACGAUCCAUAGCCGGCCUGAGAGGGUGAACGGCCACAUUGGGACUGAGACACGGCCCAGACUCCUACGGGAGGCAGCAGUGGGGAAUAUUGCACAAUGGGGGAAACCCUGAUGCAGCGACGCCGCGUGAAGGAAGAAGUAUCUCGGUAUGUAAACUUCUAUCAGCAGGGAAGAUAGUGACGGU
rnacentral:rRNA from 1 species